CAUUAGAUGGCUGAAAGCAAGCAAUGGAAUUUUAAACCAUAAUAUAGUAAAUAGCGAUUACUUCUAAUGA
rnacentral:tRNA from 1 species